rnacentral:sRNA from 1 species
UCGGGAGUGGGGCGGGCCCAUGGGAGGGUCUCUGGAUUUUUGAUAGCCUGCUUUGUUUGCUCUCUUCUGUACUAUUAAACUGCUGAUGUUUAUUUUCAGGAAUGUUUUGCAAAUGCACUUCUCACUCUUCCCCAGUACAACUGCCUUCAUGGUGAAACACCUCUUGGAGUAUACCCAGGCAACAGAGUCUAACCUGCAGUACAGCUUGUUGUUAGUCCUGGGCCUCCUCCUGACGGAAAUCGUGCGGUCUUGGUCGCUUGCACUGACUUGGGCAUUGAAUUACCGAACCGGUGUCCGCUUGCGGGGGGCCAUCCUAACCAUGGCAUUUAAGAAGAUUCUUAAGUUAAAGAACAUUAAAGAGAAAUCCCUGGGUGAGCUCAUCAACAUUUGCUCCAACGACGGGCAGAGAAUGUUUGAGGCAGCAGCCGUUGGCAGCCUGCUGGCUGGAGGACCCGUUGUUGCCAUCUUAGGCAUGAUUUAUAAUGUAAUUAUUCUGGGACCAACAGGCUUCCUGGGAUCAGCUGUUUUUAUCCUCUUUUACCCAGCAAUGAUGUUUGCAUCACGGCUCACAGCAUAUUUCAGGAGAAAAUGCGUGGCCGCCACGGAUGAACGUGUCCAGAAGAUGAAUGAAGUUCUUACUUACAUUAAAUUUAUCAAAAUGUAUGCCUGGGUCAAAGCAUUUUCUCAGAGUGUUCAAAAAAUCCGCGAGGAGGAGCGUCGGAUAUUGGAAAAAGCCGGGUACUUCCAGAGCAUCACUGUGGGUGUGGCUCCCAUUGUGGUGGUGAUUGCCAGCGUGGUGACCUUCUCUGUUCAUAUGACCCUGGGCUUCGAUCUGACAGCAGCACAGGCUUUCACAGUGGUGACAGUCUUCAAUUCCAUGACUUUUGCUUUGAAAGUAACACCGUUUUCAGUAAAGUCCCUCUCAGAAGCCUCAGUGGCUGUUGACAGAUUUAA